rnacentral:rRNA from 1 species
AACGGCCAUACCAUGCUGAAUAUACCGGUUCUCGUUAGAUCACCGAAGUCAAGCAUCAUUGGGCGCGGUCAGUACUUGGGUGGGUGACCGCCUGGGAACGCCGCGUGCCGUU